CAAACUUCACAGGGCUAUAUUUUCCUCAUUGUACAACAAUUCGCGACCAAACUUUGCAAUUUUACUCAUCCUAAGAUGCGCUUUCCAGCUAUGGUAAUGGUUUCGUUCUUCUUGUCUAGAUCAAAAUUGGGUCAUCAUCUAGCUAUACUAUACUAUCCAGGCUCGUGGUUGGUUGAUUAUAACAAUGAAGAAAACUAUAGAAAUCGUCUUUCUAAAGAACAAGUCACAAACAAUGAUCAUUUUUGUUUUGAACGCUAAUCACAAAACAUGAUCAUUUUAGACAAAAUUUUGAGGGUUAAAAGACCUACCUAGAGCUGGAAUCAAAGUUAGAGCAAAUUACAUGUAAAGUACAAACAAAAUACUGUACAUAAAGUAAAUAUGGCAAAGCUCAAAACAUCGUACAUCGCAUACUACACAUAAUAAAUUAAACUAGAAAGUUAUUAAACAGUUUGAUUUGAGUUUUAAACCCAAGUGAUUGUGAAAAUUCAAAUGUGAUUGUAGUUGCGUGAACAAGUAACAUGACAUUUGACCUUUCCUAAGUGGAUUUUGACACAUUUUUAUACUGUCAGCCUAUCAUAUUAAAACAUUAAAUCAAAGCACAGCUUGAGGCCAUUAGGAAACGAAACAGAAUUCUAUUGUCUAUUCAGAAAUAUCAGCGCAAAUGAGAGAAUGUUUCACCCUAAAAUACACAAAGAAUUGUUUGAAAACAAAUGUUUCCAAUGUUAUCCGUUUCACUUUUUCACAUGUGAAAUCUUCUCAGGUUGAAUAGUGAUUUUUUUUUAUAUUACUGUAUAGCAAAAUGAGUAGCGAAAUCCCAAAAACGGAUAGCGAAUCGCGAUUCGCUAUCUGUUAAUUCGAACCCUGUGUUGAUACUCCUAAAACAUGUUUGCUUUUUAUGAUCAUGAAAGAUAUACUCAACUCAGGAUUUAACAUAUGAAUAGAAGUAAAAAUUAACGACGAUAUAGCUAGAAAUAGAUCAUUGAUUUUAUCAAUCUUCCCAAAAGCAUCAAGUAUAUACAGUAUUAUUAUUCUAAAAUUAUAGUUUUACGAUAGAUAAAAUUAUUUCUGUACUAGUAUAUUUUAGUGUCUGGUGACAUUGUACCCGCGCGUCACUGUUUAGUUCAAAAUAUUUUCACUGACCCUAUAAUUAUCUUAAAAUUGGUAAUGUUCAAAAACUUAUCCAAAGUACAAUCAAUGUUUUCUUAAUUCAAACAACCAAACAUGC